rnacentral:rRNA from 3 species
AGCAACAAAUGCCCUGCUUCCAGGAAAAGCCUCUAAGCAUCAGGUAACAUCAAAUCGUACCCCAAACCGACACAGGUGGUCAGGUAGAGAAUACCAAGGCGCUUGAGAGAACUCGGGUGAAGGAACUAGGCAAAAUGGUGCCGUAACUUCGGGAGAAGGCACGCUGACACGUAGGUGAAGUGAUUUACUCAUGGAGCUGAAGUCAGUCGAAGAUACCAGCUGGCUGCAACUGUUUAUUAAAAACACAGCACUGUGCAAACACGAAAGUGGACGUAUACGGUGUGACGCCUGCCCGGUGCCGGAAGGUUAAUUGAUGGGGUCAGCGCAAGCGAAGCUCCUGAUCGAAGCCCCGGUAAACGGCGGCCGUAACUAUAACGGUCCUAAGGUAGCGAAAUUCCUUGUCGGGUAAGUUCCGACCUGCACGAAUGGCGUAAUGAUGGCCAGGCUGUCUCCACCCGAGACUCAGUGAAAUUGAACUCGCUGUGAAGAUGCAGUGUACCCGCGGCAAGACGGAAAGACCCCGUGAACCUUUACUAUAGCUUGACACUGAACAUUGAGCCUUGAUGUGUAGGAUAGGUGGGAGGCUUUGAAGUGUGGACGCCAGUCUGCAUGGAGCCGACCUUGAAAUACCACCCUUUAAUGUUUGAUGUUCUAACGUGGACCCGUGAUCCGGGUUGCGGACAGUGUCUGGUGGGUAGUUUGACUGGGGCGGUCUCCUCCUAAAGAGUAACGGAGGAGCACGAAGGUUGGCUAAUCCUGGUCGGACAUCAGGAGGUUAGUGCAAUGGCAUAAGCCAGCUUGACUGCGAGCGUGACGGCGCGAGCAGGUGCGAAAGCAGGUCAUAGUGAUCCGGUGGUUCUGAAUGGAAGGGCCAUCGCUCAACGGAUAAAAGGUACUCCGGGGAUAACAGGCUGAUACCGCCCAAGAGUUCAUAUCGACGGCGGUGUUUGGCACCUCGAUGUCGGCUCAUCACAUCCUGGGGCUGAAGUAGGUCCCAAGGGUAUGGCUGUUCGCCAUUUAAAGUGGUACGCGAGCUGGGUUUAGAACGUCGUGAGACAGUUCGGUCCCUAUCUGCCGUGGGCGCUGGAGAACUGAGGGGGGCUGCUCCUAGUACGAGAGGACCGGAGUGGACGCAUCACUGGUGUUCGGGUUGUCAUGCCAAUGGCACUGCCCGGUAGCUAAAUGCGGAAGAGAUAAGUGCUGAAAGCAUCUAAGCACGAAACUUGCCCCGAGAUGAGUUCUCCCUGAGACUUAGAGUCUCCUGAAGGAACGUUGAAGACGACGACGUUGAUAGGCCGGGUGUGUAAGCGCAGCGAUGCGUUGAGCUAACCGGUACUAAUGAACCGUGAGGCUUAACCUUACA